rnacentral:lncRNA from 1 species
AGGCCCAGGGUGCCGGGGCCUCGGAUGAACUUGCCUGGAGUGGGUCAGAAAACUUUCAGUAGAGCCCAGAGUAAAAAGGAUGUACCUAUGGGAGGCAGGUGGGGAUGGGUCCCCUGGCUCAAGUGGGGGUCUCCCAGAAAGAGCUUUCAACAAGGGGUUUCAGUAAAGGCUGACAAAUUUGGAGACUGGAAAAAAAGUAUUUUUCCCUCUCCACCCUGGUCUUCUCCUGUAACGUGUGGCCGCCUUUUCCAGCACGGCCUCCUGCCUUCCUGGUGCACUUUUUGGAGAACGUGGUGGAAUCAGAGGUUUCUGGCUGACUCGGUGG